AAUACAUUUGAAAACUAAUAAAUCACAUAACUUAUGGCACGUGUCAUUAAUCUAACCAUAGGAUUUCCUUCUCAUCACACAAACCAACGAUUAUCACAAUUCUCUCUUCAAAAAAGAGUUUAAAUGCGAUGGCAAAACUAAAAUUGAAAGACACAAACAAAACCCUAUUUCCCCAAUUUUCCCUUCUACAAUUUGAGACUUUUUCGUAUUCUUUUCCAAAUCUAAUUUCCACCCUUUUCAUUUUUUUCAAAGCAAUUUGCAACCCUUUUCAUCUUUUGUGAAUAAACCCUAUAUUUGUUUUCAAUUUUUUUCUGGGUUUUUAGUGUUCAUGACAAUGUCUAAAGUUGUUAGCAAGUAUAGUGUUUUCUCUUCUACAAUUUCCCAUCAUCAUAAUGAUCAUAACAAAUGUAGAAAUUUUCCCAUGAAAUUUUCAGUUUCUGUUGGAAAACAAGGAAAAUUAGUUGGUUUUUCUUCUCUGAGGAGUAGUUUUGGUGGUGUUAGAACUGUUGUUGAUCAAAAUGGUAGCGUUUGGUCUCAUAAGAGGAACCCUCAAUCAAUUCAUGCUAAGUAGCAUAUCAAGGCUAGCAUAUGUAUGGGAUCACACAUGGAAGUUACAUUCUGAAUAUAUGUUAAAUAAACAAAGAAGCUUAUUACAAAUGCCAGGUAAUAUAUAUUCACGGUCUUUUAUGCUUAUUGUUUACUUAAAAUGUAAGUUAAUUGUAUGAUAAAUUUUUAUCAAAUUUAUGCACUUACAUGAUAAAUUUGAACCUCAUGGAUGAUCAAUUAAAGAAUUAUGCUAUUUCUACUAUUAAGGAGAUGCUUGGAAAGAAUGAAAUUUAUUUGAUGAAUAUAUGUCUUGAGAUGUGCCUAAGUGAUAUUUUCAUCAAAUAUGCUCAAGUGGCUUUGCAUCUUUGUGAUUUCUAAAGGGGAGGACCACACAUUCAAUAUUUAGAAUACCACUUAAUGUUACUAAAGAUUUAAUAUGUAGAAGCAUAGAACCUAAUAGUAAGUUGAUAGGCCUACUUAAAGAACCAAGUUUAACAUUUAGAACAAAGCUCCAAUGACUCAUAAGCAUUGCAUUGAAAGCCCUAAACAUGAGUGUACACGAUGACAUUCAUUAUCUACGACAAGGCAUCCAAAUUAAGCUUCAGAUACAAGGCCAUUGUUUUCGGUGGUGAUUUUAGGCUAUUUUGUCAAUCAUUUCGAAGGGUACAAGACAAGAUAUUGUCUUCGGCGCUAACUUUUCAAAGGUUUGGAAUGAUUGCAAGGUAUUACGUCCAUGAGAAUACGAUCGGGAUUAGACAAUGUUUAUGAACUACGAGAUCUUGAAUAUUGGAUUCUCAAAAAGAUGUAGAUAGAAAGCUUGGAGGACCUAACAAUGGAUAAGAACUAUCUACAUACCUGAAGAUCUAUUGAUUAAAGAUGCAUAUGAUCAAAUGGAUGCAAUUGUCGAUUUUGCUUAUCUUGGAAUUCGUGAGGGCUCAAUUGACAGUUCGUACUUUUACGAGAUGGCAGUAUAAGCACCAACAAAUAGAAUUGUUGAUAAGGAUAAUGAACAUGUAGUGUCCCUUUUUUCAGGAAAAGAUAGGUUGUACGUGUGUUCAGAUUCAAUAUCCAACUCUAACUGUAACUGUUAUAGCAACGACGAUGCAUUUUAAUUGAGUUUCUCAACUCAAUACGUGCAUAUAGAUUUCUCAAAACAUAAGUUAUUGUUAAAACUUGAUGCUUCAGCCUCCAACAAUAAUGCUCAUAAACAAAGAUCAUUUAGCUGGCUUAUCCAAUGGUAUACGCUAAUUAAUUAGUUGAUCAUUUGGACGAUCAAGUUAUAAAAGCAGCUGUUAUAUUCGAAUCUAACAUUUGUGAUAAAAUUUCAUUCCAAGGUUACACUAACACCUUUAGAUAACUCUAAGGGGGUGUUUGGUAUGGAAAGAGAAAAUGUAAGGGAAAGGGAAUUAAUAAAGAGGGGUAAGGGUAAAGGUAAGGGUUAUGGUUAUAUGUUGUUUGGUAUAACAUUGUAAGGAAACACUUAUUUACGUUUCCCUUACUUAUUGUUUGGUAUAAGUACUGUUUUAUAGCUCUUGUUUAUCUUUUGUAAACUUUGGUUGUAUAUAUUUUGUUAUGAGGCCUCGUGUCCUCUCUUGUA